rnacentral:misc_RNA from 1 species
GAUGAAGAACGCAGCGAAAUGCGAUAAGUAAUGUGAAUUGCAGAAUUCAGUGAAUCAUCGAAUCUUUGAACGCACCUUGCACCCUUUGGUAUUCCGAAGGGUAUGCUCGUUUGAGUGUCAUUGUACUCUCACACUUCCGAUCGUUUGGAUCGGGAGCGGUGGACUUGGGUGUUGCUGCUUUACUGUGGCUCACCUUAAAUGCAUUAGUGCACCUUUCGGUUGGACAUAGUACGGCGUGAUAAGUGUCUUCGCCGGCACCUCACAGAGGGUGGCUGAUCGGGAGCUCUGUGCUUCAAACCGUCCUCGGACAACAGCUGAGAACUUGACCUCAAAUCGAGUAGGACUACCCGCUGAACUUAAGCAUAUCAAUAAGCGGAGGA